rnacentral:miRNA from 1 species
UCCACCUGCCUCGACCUCCCAGAGUGCUGGGAUUAAAGGCAUGAGACACUAUGCCCAGCAAAUUCAAGUACUUGUAGCAGUGUUUACAAAUGAGGAAUUAGUGUUGAUAAUGUUGAAAAAGG